rnacentral:ncRNA from 1 species
CAAAGGCUUGGUCCUGACUUUACUGUCAACUCUGGCUAGAUUUACACAUGCAAGUCUCCGCACCCCCGUGAGAAUGCCCUACAGUUUCCCUUCCUGAAACAAGGAGCAGGUAUCAGGCACACUACAGUAGCCCACUACACCUUGCUUAGCCACACCCCCAAGGGAUCUCAGCAGUGAUAAAUAUUAAGCAAUAAGUGAAAACUUGACUUAGUUAUAAGCCUACAGGGCCGGUUAAACUCGUGCCAGCCACCGCGGUUAUACGAGAGGCCCAAGCUGACAGACCUCGGCGUAAAGUGUGGUUAAAUAGUGUACCUACUAAGGUCGAAUGCAGUCAAAACUGUUAUACGUAAUCGAAUGCUAGAAGCCCCGUCACGAAAGUAACCUUAUAAUAUUGAACCCACGAAAGCUAGGACACAAACUGGGAUUAGAUACCCCACUAUGCCUAGCACUAAACCUAGAUGAACAUAUUACGUAAUCAUCCGCCUGGGAACUACGAGCACUAGCUCAAAACCCAAAGGACUUGGCGGUGCUUAACAUCCCCCUAGAGGAGCCUGUUCUAGAACCGAUAACCCUCGUUAAACCUCACUUUUUCUUGCCCGCCACCGCCUAUAUACCGCCGUCGUCAGCUUACCCUAUGAAGGACAAACAGUAAGCAGAAUCAGUAAUACUCAAAACGUCAGGUCGAGGUGUAGCAAAUGAAAGAGGAAGAAAUGGGCUACAUUUCCUACGCCGCAGGAAAUACGAAAAGUUUACUGAAAGCUAAACUAGAAGGAGGAUUUAGUAGUAAGGGAGAAAUAGAGUGUCUCCCUGAAAUUGGCCCUUAAGCGCGCACACACCGCCCGU